rnacentral:ncRNA from 1 species
UGGCCAUCAGCAGAUGAGUGGAUUAAAAAAUUGUGUUAUCCCUAGCCAGUUUGGCUCAGUGGAUAGAGCAUCCACCUGCAGACUGAAAGGUCCCAGGUUCAAUUCCAAUCAAUGGCACGUUCAGGGGGCAUGCAGGAAGCAGCCAAUUAGUGAUUCUCUAUCAUCACUGAUGCUUCUAUCCCUCUCUCCCUUCCUCUCUGAAAUUAAUAAAAAAUUUAUUAAAAAUAAUAAUAAAUAAUAAGUAAAAAGUUGUGGUACAUCAGCACAAUGGCAUACUAUGCUGCUGUAAAAAAGAACUCUUUCGCGAAGGCCUGCAGCUGGUGUUGACGCGAUGUGAUUUCUGCCCAGUGAUCUGAAUGUCAAAGUGAAGAAAUUCAAUGAAGCGCGGUAAACGGCAGGAGUAACUAUUACUCUUCUACGGUAGCCAAAUGCCUCGUCAUCUAAUUAGUGAUGCACAUGAAUGGAUGAACAAGAUUCCCACUGUCCCUACCUACUAUCCAGUGAAACCACAGCCAAGGGAACGGGCUUGGCGGAAUCAGCGGGGAAAGAAGACCCUGCUGAGCUUGACUCUAGUCUGGCACGGUGAAGAAACAUGAGAGGUGUAGAAUAAGUGGGAGGCCCCCGGUACCCCUUCCCUGAGUCCCCUCGAGGGGGCAGGGAGGGGGGCACGCCAGCCUUGCACGCACCCAUAUGUUUAUAGCAGCACAAUUCACCAUAGCUAAGAUCUGGAAACAGUCUAAGUGCCCAUCAGUAGAUGAAUGGAUUAGAAAACUGUGGUACAUCUACACAAUGGAAUACUAUGCUGCUGUAAAAAA